rnacentral:rRNA from 1 species
CCACCCUGAACCACCCUGAAUGUGCCCAAUCUCAUCUGAUCUCAGAAGUUAAGCAAGGUCGGUUAGUACUUGGAUAGUUAGUACCUGGUUAGUACUUGGAUGGAAGAAAUGAGGAUUGUGGC